GUGAGGAAUAUUGCACAAUGGGCGAAAGCCUGAUGCAGCAACGCCGCGUGAGUGAUGAAGGCCUUUGGGUCGUAAAACUCUGUCCUUGGGGAAGAAAAAAAUGACGGUACCCUUGGAGGAAGCCCCGGCUAACUACGUGCCAGCAGCCGCGGUAAUACGUAGGGGGCAAGCGUUAUCCGGAAUUAUUGGGCGUAAAGAGUGCGUAGGUGGUUUUGUAAGCGUAGGGUGAAAGGCAGUAGCUCAACUAUUGUUAGCCCUGCGAACUGUGAGACUUGAGUGCAGGAGAGGAAAGUGGAAUUCCUAGUGUAGCGGUGAAAUGCGUAGAUAUUAGGAGGAACACCAGUGGCGAAGGCGGCUUUCUGGACUGUAACUGACACUGAGGCACGAAAGCGUGGGGAGCAAACAGGAUUAGAUACCCGUGUAGUCC
rnacentral:rRNA from 1 species